UCAAAUAAAAUAUAUGGGAUAUCCAAUUACUAUAAAAUAAAAACAGUGAAUUUGUGGGGAAAGCAGUCCUAUAAAUAAAACUCAGUCAAGAAAAACUAAAAGAUCAUAGAACAUAUAUAAUGGGUAUCACAAAAACCUCUAUAACUGUUUUUCUUGUAAUAAUAUUGACAAAUUCGUUUACUUAUGACAAUGUUUUGGUCGUGUCAGGUGCAGUGAUCGAGCCAGCAAAAUAUGGUGUUUGCCUUUUUAAAUGUGAAGGUAGAUUGGAUGAUUUUGCAUGCGCCAAUGACUGUAAUCUGAAACCUGGAUACCGAGAUGGAUAUUGUAUUGGAAAUCCUCCACGAUGUUGUUGCGUUAUACGAUAAUAUAAUCGAUUACCAGAUUCUAAAAGAUGAGCUUGUUGAAUUGUUUUUAAAUUUCUUGAUAAUAAAAACAAAACUUAUAACU